AACGAACGCUGGCCGCGUGCCUAACACAUGCAAGUCGAACGUGAUUGGACGCUUGCUCACAUGAAAGUGGCGCACGGGUGAGUAACGCGUAGAUAAUAUGCAUGAGGAUCUGGAAUACCAGUUCGUAAGCACUGCUAAUACCGGAUAAGCCCACGGAGUACUCGGACGCUGCGGGAAAAGGGGGGGCACGCAAGACCAUCCGACAUUAGAUGAGUCUGCGUACCAUAAGCGAGUUGGUAGGGUAAAGGCCUACCAAGGCGACGAUGGUUAGCUGGUCUGAGAGGAUGAUCAGCCACACUGGAACGGAGACACGGUCCAGACUCCUACGGGAGGCAGCAGUGGGGAAUUUUGCGCAAUGGGGGAAACCCUGACGCAGCAACGCCGCGUGAGUGAUGAAGGCCCUUGGGUCGUAAAGCUCUGACAGAGGGAAAGAAAUGCAGGGUGGCUAAUAUCCAUCUUGCUUGACGGUACCCUCAAAGGAAGCACCGGCUAACUCCGUGCCAGCAGCCGCCGUAAGAC
rnacentral:rRNA from 1 species